rnacentral:lncRNA from 1 species
CUCUCUCUCUCUCUCUCUCUCUCUCUCUCUCCCGCGGCUGAACCCCCCUCCCCGUUUCAAUUUUUCGCCGGAACUUCAGACGGCGAGAACUUCGCCGUCCGACCUCCGUUUGAGGCGCCGUUUCUUGCAAAAGCUUCAUCUCUUCCUCCUCUACCCAGCCCACCCCUUUUCUCCGAUCGAAAACCCGGCAAACGGCGGUGGCGACGACGUGAAAACCAGUCAAAACUGCCGACGUCGCCGACGACGUUUCCGGCCAUCUCGAGCUGCGCCGUCACUUGGAACAGGUAGCUCUCCUUCCCUUCUAGCUAUUUCCUGGGUUGUGCGACGACCAUGGUGACGGUGGUCGUCGGAUCGAAGCCGUGAAGUUCCGGGUUAAACCGCGAACUUCCGACGCCGAUUCCGGCCACUUGCCGUCCGAAUUGGACCUUGGUGUAGUUGAAUAAAGUGUUCCACUCGUCGAGUAGAAUCUAUAGCCGGAAGGGUGAGCUCGGGUGUGGAGUUUUUCCGUUCCCGGAAUUUCUCUACACACCCACGCACUGCCGGCGCAUGUGGCGGCGCGUGGGCGAGUCUGGUGAGGCUGCAAAAUAACCCGAUGAGAUCCUUAGGUUGUCACGAGCACGUAGGAUUUCGCGGAUCUCAAUUCGGAUGUCGUUUGACUAUCGAACGGAUUUUCGCAUAUUGUGCGUUAUCCGGGUUCGAUAGGUUCCGACCGUUAGAUCCUUCCCGAAUUAAAAUAUGUUGUUCUAGGUAUUCUUAGGAUCGUAUAGGACUUCGCGGAUUGUGAAUCGGAACCCCGGAUGUUCCGAUUCAAUAACUUAAAGUUUGUGUUUUAUAUUAACCGUCCGAUCGUGCGAUCAUAAGCGAUCUAACCGUCCGUUUCGGACCAAACUUGCGAGACGGGUAUCUUAGACCUUGUGGAACCUUUAGGAACUUUCGGAUUGUAAAAUGGAGGUCGUGGGUCCCGUGGGUCCCGUGGGCCCGGUUGACCCGAAUUGGGAAGUUUGACCGUCGGUUGACCGAGUGUCUCCCGAAGCUGUUCCAUCGUCCAAAUUGGGUAGUUGGACCUUAGAACGUCGCGUUCCUAGUACACUUACUAAGAACCUGGGAAAUUAGGAUAUUUAAUUCAAAGUACUCGUUCGAAAUGCUUCGUACUAAUCUCGUAUACGUAUUCUGAAUUAGGUACUCCGACCACGCAUACGCAGCAGGCGGGACCCUCUCAGGGUCAAGCAGCGUGGGACUACUUGUGAGUGGACUUUGUUUUCAAAUCUUAUGCAUGGUUUUAUUAAUGAAAGAUUUAUGCAUAAUGUUUUAACGAUUUAUUGAAUAUAUUAUAUUCAUGGGUUGAAUUUGAU